GGCCUCCCUCUUUGGGGCAAUCGAUCCUGGGGCUCCGCGAUCGAUCGCCCAGUAGAGGGAGGCC
rnacentral:pre_miRNA from 1 species